UACAGGGGGUGCAAACGUUGCUCGGAAUUAUUGGGCGUAAAGGGCGCGUAGGCGGCUUUUCAAGUGACGGGUGAAAUCCCUCGGCUUAACCGAGGAACUGCCUGUCAGACUGGAAGGCUUGAGACCGGGAGAGGUGAGUGGAAUUCCCAGUGUAGCGGUGAAAUGCGUAGAUAUUGGGAGGAACACCAGUGGCGAAGGCGGCUCACUGGACCGGAACUGACGCUGAGGCGCGAAAGCGUGGGGAGCAAACAGG
rnacentral:rRNA from 1 species